GUGAUCACUUCAGCAGCACCUGUACCAAAAUUGGAACGAUACUGAGAUUAUUAACAUGGCUUCUGUGCAAGGAUGAGAUGAAAAUUCAUGAAGUGUUCUGUAUUUUU
rnacentral:snRNA from 1 species